rnacentral:rRNA from 1 species
UACGAAGGGGGCUAGCGUUGUUCGGAAUUACUGGGCGUAAAGCGCACGUAGGCGGAUUGUUAAGUCGGGGGUGAAAUCCUGAGGCUCAACCUCAGAACUGCCUUCGAUACUGUUUGGCUUGAGACCGGAAGAGGUUAGUGGAACUGCGAGUGUAGAGGUGAAAUUCGUAGAUAUUCGCAAGAACACCAGUGGCGAAGGCGGCUGACUGGUCCGGUUCUGACGCUGAGGCGCGAAAGCGUGGGGAGCAAACAGG